rnacentral:rRNA from 1 species
AUACGGCGGAUCCGAGCGUUAUCCGGAUUUAUUGGGUUUAAAGGGAGCGUAGGCGGACGCUUAAGUCAGUUGUGAAAGUUUGCGGCUCAACCGUAAAAUUGCAGUUGAUACUGGGUGUCUUGAGUACAGUAGAGGCAGGCGGAAUUUGUGGGGUAGCGGGGGAAUGCUUAGAUAUCACGAAGAACUCCGAUUGCGAAGGCAGCCUGCUGGACUGUAACUGACGCUGAUGCUCGAAAGUGUGGGUAUCAAACAGGAUUAGAUACCCUGGUAGUCCACACAGUAAACGAUGAAUACUCGCUGUUUGCGAUAUACAGUAAGCGGCCAAGCGAAAGCGUUAAGUAUUCCACCUGGGGAGUACGCCGGCAACGGUGAAACUCAAAUGAAUUGACGGGG